UCGGGAAUUUUGCUCAAUGGGGGAAACCCUGAAGCAGCAACGCCGCGUGAGGGAUGAAGGCCUUCGGGUUGUAAACCUCUUUUAUCAGGGACGAUGAUGACGGUACCUGAUGAAUAAGCCACGGCUAACUACGUGCCAGCAGCCGCGGUAAUACGUAGGUGGCAAGCGUUGUCCGGAUUUACUGGGCGUAAAGAGCGCGCAGGCGGUCGUUUAAGUCGAAUGUGAAAGCCCCCGGGCUCAACUGGGGAGGGUCAUUCGAUACUGAUCGACUUGAAGGCAGGAGAGGGAAGUGGAAUUCCGGGUGUAGUGGUGAAAUGCGUAGAUAUCCGGAGGAACACCAGUGGCGAAGGCGACUUCCUGGCCUGUUCUUGACGCUGAGGCGCGAAAGCUGGGGGAGCAAACGGGAUUAGAUA
rnacentral:rRNA from 1 species